GUGCCAGCAGCCGCGGUAAUACCGGCAGCCCAAGUGAUGGCCGCUGUUAUUGGGCCUAAAGCGUCCGUAGCUGGCCGCACAAGUCCGUCGGGAAAUCCGCCCGCUCAACGGGCGGCCGUCCGGCGGAACCUGUGUGGCUUGGGACCGGAAGACCCGAGGGGUACGUCCGGGGUAGGAGUGAAAUCCCGUAAUCCUGGACGGACCGCCGGUGGCGAAAGCGCCUCGGGAAGACGGACCCGACAGUGAGGGACGAAAGCCAGGGUCUCCAACCGGAUUAGAUACCCUGGUAGUCC
rnacentral:rRNA from 1 species